AUGGCCAGUUUCCGUCUCACUGGUCUGGAGGCACGCAAGGUGUUUGCUAGAAUGCUUAGCAGCGGGGCAGGUGGCAGUGAUGCCGCUGUGGAGGCUUUCGACCCCGCCAAACGCCUCUGCAAGCUCAUCAUCUCCUGCCGGCAGGCCUCGGGGCUUGAGAUCGAGCUCGACCACAGCGACCUCCGAGUCACCCCGGAUGUCGCCGAGCGCGUCCUGGAGCGCCUCGACAACGCUGGCAUGCUCGCGUAUCGCUUCUUCGAGUGGGCGCGCAAGCAGAGGCGUGGUGGCUGCGCCCACACCGUCCGCUCCUUCCACACGGUGGUCGCGUCCCUCGCCAAGAUCCGCCAGUACCAGCUCAUGUGGGACGUCGUUGCCAUAAUGCGCCGGCAGGGCGUGGUCAAUGUCGAGACGUUUGGCAUCAUAAUGCGGAAGUACGCACGGGCGCAGAAGGUCGAUGAAGCUGUUUACACGUUCAAUGUCAUGGAGAAGUACGGCGUUGUGCCUAACCUCGCCGCUUUCAACAGCCUGCUCUGUGCGCUGUGCAAGUCCAAGAAUGUGCGCAAGGCGCAGGAGAUCUUUGAACAGAUGAAUGGCCGGUUCAGCCCUGAUGCCAAGACCUAUAGCAUCUUGCUUGAGGGUUGGGGGAGAGCGCCUAAUCUCCCAAAGAUGCGAGAGGUCUACAGUGAGAUGCUUGAUGCAGGCUGCCAGCCUGACAUAGUCACAUAUGGCAUCAUGGUUGAUUCCCUCUGCAAGACAGGCCGUGUUGAGGAAGCUGUCUUUGUGGUGCAGGACAUGAGCUCCAGGGGCUGCCAACCAACAACCUUCAUAUACAGUGUGCUCGUGCAUACAUACGGCGUUGAAAUGAGGAUCGAGGAUGCUGUUGCAACAUUUUUGGAUAUGCAGAAGGACGGGAUCGUGCCAGAUGUUGUGGUUUAUAAUGCACUUGUCACUGCCUUCUGCAAAGUGAAAAAAUUUGACAAUGCAUUUAGAGUCAUGGAUGACAUGGAAGGCCAUGGAAUCACCCCAAACUCAAGGACCUGGAACAUCAUCCUUAACAAGAUGAUUAGCCUUGGAAAGGAUGAAGAAGCAUACAGGGUCUUCCGCCGUAUGAUAAAGCGCUGCCAACCAGAUUCUGAUACAUACACCAUGAUGAUAAAGAUGUUCUGUGAGAAUGACAGGUUAGAGAUGGCACUGAAGGUAUGGAAAUAUAUGAGGUUGAAGCAGUUUCUGCCGAGCAUGCACACGUUCUCUGUGCUGAUCAAUGGGCUGUGUGACAAGGGUGAGGUUAGCCAAGCUUGUGUUCUGCUUGAAGAUAUGAUAGAGAAGGGCAUUAGACCCCCUGGUUCAACAUUUGGCAAGCUGAGGCAGCUCCUUCUGAAGGAAGGAAGGAAGGAUGUGCUUGAAUUUCUCGUUGAUAAAAUGAAGAUUCUGAUACAGGAACCUUUGUUUGAUUGA
rnacentral:rRNA from 1 species